rnacentral:lncRNA from 1 species
AUCACUCACUAUCAUCCCUAGUGACCAACUAGCAAAUUUUUUGCUUCCUGUUCCCAUGACAUUAUAUUCUGCUGGCCUAGAGGUCUUAGUUCCAAAGGGAGGAAUGCUGCCACCAGGAGGCACAACAAUGAUUCCACUAAACUGGCCGUUAAGAUUGCCACCUGGCCACAUUAAUUUCCUCCAGCUUCCAAGUCAACAGGCUAAGGAGGGAGUCACAGCGUUGGCUGGGGUGACUGACCUGGACUAUCAAGAGUAAAUCAAUCUACUACUCCACUAUGGAGGCUGUAAUCAAGCCUUGCCCGAGACCUCUUUCACUGUUGAGAACACCUGGAUGUCCACACACUGCCAGAGUGGAAAGGAUGGCCUGGCCCAUGGGCGGAACCUGGGGAGGGGGCAGCUGACCUCAGCGCUAUGCCACUGUGGGCAACAUGGGCAGAAAAGAAUGAGGGAAGGCCUGAACACCUGCCCACACAUGCUGCCCCAGCCCAGAGCACUGACUUGGCCCUACCUCCACAAUGAUCGAGUGUCUCCCAAAAUCAGAGUGUCCGCACCAUCUUGGUGUCCCAAACAUCAUCUGUUUUCCAGGAUCGUCCAUAUGGAGCCUGAAUACUCCAGGCCAGGUGCCACCCCAUGGCUGCCCGUCCCCUGAUCUCCUGAGCAUCUGGAUGUCCCAGAGAGCACAGGGAAAGAUUGGGUAUGGGGAGUUGGAGAGAGCUCCCAAGGGGAGAGACAAAGAGUGGGACAUGCAACCCCUUAGGUGCUCAGGGCACCCUGCCUAGGCUGCAAUGGGGAUGGCUGGUCCCAGACACUCAAGAAGGGCUUGAAAAAUUUCCUAUACUCCUCUCCAAAACCAGGGGGUCCUCGCCUGGGUCUAAAGAUUCUACUUCAGGAGAAAACCGUUUCUGUUUAAUCACCUGACAAAAAUUAGGGCAUUUAAAGGUAAAAAUCCUCAUUUAAGAUAUCUUCAAAUAUGGUAAAUAGAAAUCUCUAAAAUAUAGAUUGAAAUUUUAUAAAUGGAAAAAAAUUGAUGGUUAAUAAAUUUGGAUCCUAUUGUUUUUGCCUAAAAUGAUAAGAAUUGUUAGUUUUAAAUAAUGAGAUGCUCAUUUUAUUGUUUAACCUGAAAACUGACUCUAAGGCCAAAUCUAUAAAGGAGAUGCGAAAUUAUUUUGAGGAGUGGAAGUAUCAUCAGAAUAAGUGUUUUGCCUGAUGUAACUACUUCAAAAAAUCCUGUUUUUCUGGUUAUGUCUGUGCUAUUAUGAUUAUUUAAAAGUUGAGUCUUAUUACUGAUCAAACAAAGCAAAAUAAAGAACUCUCCAGUGAUAUUAGGCCAGCCAUGUGCCUCAUCGAUAUGGGGGGCAGGCAAACACUAAUGCAGGCUAAAUUCACUGGUUAAUUUUCCAGUUUUAAAUGGGAAAAAAUAAAUGAAGGGAGGAGUAAAGCAAGCAAUAAAAAUAAUUGAAAGACUAGGAGAUACAAAUAGGAUGUGAUUUAGUUGACUGGAAAAAUGCCUAAGGGGUAAAAGGAAUGUAUCUAUUACUCUUCUCAAAUAAAUGAGAGGAAAUGCUCAUUACAGAACAUGGAUACCCAUAAAUGACUUCUUUGGCAAGAGCAUCUUUGUACCACAUAUACAUUUCACUUUCUAUACACAUUACAGCCUUAUAUCGACUCAACAGUAUAAAUGAGAGAAGCAGUACACACACUCCCACACACACUCUCACACACCCGCCCCCAUCCACAUGCACACACACACACAUGCUCCACCCCACCCCCCGACACACGCACACACACAACUAACCUUAGGAUACAAAGAUUGAGGCAACGUUAAGACCAACCCAGUAGAGAGUGCUAAGAUGAAUGGAUUCAAGGUCAAUCUAUAAUAUUUUGAACUCGUCUUAGAAAAAUACAAUCCCUACACAUGAUCAAUCAAAAAAGGAAUUUGGGAACAGAUGGGAGAGGUCAGCUCAGUGACCUCGUUUUGGGUUCAAUGGUUUUAUAGCACUUUUUUUUCCAAAACAAUUUGGGGAGCUGUACUGCUUUCCCAUUGUUGCUAUAACAAAUGGUGACAAACGUCAUGGCUUGAAACAAGAUAUUUAUUCCAUCAGAGUCCUAGAGGCCAGGAAUCCAAAAUCUGUACCCCUGAGCUGAAAUCAAAGUGUUGGUAGGACAGUGCUCUCUGAAUUCCUUGAUACUUUGGGAUUCUGGUGGUUGCCGCAUUACUCCAUGCUACUCCAAACUUCAGGACAAAUGUCUUCAAAUUUCCCUCUGUUGCAUCUUCCCACCACCUUCUCCAUGUGUGUCUGUGUAUGAAAUCUCCCUUUACCUCCUUCUUAGAAGGAGGUGUGAUUACAUUUAGGGCUACUCAGUUAAGCUAGGAGAAUGUCUCCACCUCAAGAUCCUUAACUUUAUCACAUCUGCAAACACCUUCCUUCUUUCUCUCUUUUUGCCAUAUGAUAUAACAUUCACAGAUUCCAGAGAUUAGGACAUGGAUAUCUUUGGGGGUGGGGGUAUUUUUUUAACCUACCACAUGAGUAUUGGAGGACUUCUUAUAUCAUAAAGAAGUUUUAAGAUUUACAACAACUCACCAUAUAAUACACAGUUCAAGAUUUAUGCUAAAUGACUAGAAUACAAGUGAAUGACAAUGGGGCCCUGAAAUUAAGUGAUACACAAUAUAGGGACAUUACACAAUAUAGAGACAUUACACAAUCUUGUAUAGGUUUGAAUGUUUUUUUCUUAUAGAAGCAAAACUACAGUGACUUGUAGAUCAGCAUAUAAAUGUGCCCAGAAAAGCUUUCAUUUUGAUAGGAUUGCGUAUCGUUUGUUGGCUUAUUUUUAAAUAAAUUUCAUUUUUCAGAGCACUUUUAGGUUCACAAAAAAAGUUCAUGGAACAGAGAGACUCAACAUAAUUUCUGCAUCUCAUAUACAUAGCCCCUCCCACCAUCCACAUCCAAUACCAGAGUGAUGCAUUAGUCACAAUCAAUAAAAUGAGGUUGCCACAUCAUUAUCACUCAAAGUUCAUAGUUCACAUUAGGGUAUCUCUUGGUAUUGUACAUUAUAUGGGUUUGGACAAAAGUAUAAUGACAUAUAGCCACCAUUAUGGUAUCAUACAGAGUAGUUUCACUGUCUCAAAAUCCUCUGUACUCUGCCUAUUAAUUCAUCUUUUCCAGUCUAACUCCUGCAGCCACUAAUCUUUUACUGUCUCCACAGUUUUGCCUUUUAUAGGAUGUCAUAUAGUUGGAAUCAUUCAGCAUGCAGCCUUUUGGGCCUGGCUUCUUUCACUUAAUAACAUGUAUUUAAGGUUACUCUGUGUCUUGACAUGGCUUGAUAAAUAAUUUCCUUUUAGUGCUGUGAUAUUCCAUCCUCUGGAUAUGCCACAGCUUACUUAUCCAUUCGCCUACUGAAGGGCAUUUUAGUUGCUUCCAAGU